rnacentral:misc_RNA from 1 species
GUGCUGGCUGCACACGGAGCAGCAAAAAUCAGUGCUUAUGUGACACAUGGGAUUUUUCCAAAUAGAUCGUGGCAACGCUUUGAACAUGAUAAUGGAGGGCAUCCUGAGAACGGGCUUACCUAUUUCUGGAUUACUGAUUCGUGCCCAUUGACUGUUAAAGAAGUAGCGAAUAAAGCUCCUUUUGAAGUUCUCAGCCUUGCCGGUUCUAUAGCUGCAGCGCUUCGAAUAUAGUAAAAGCAAAAAGAUUUGUUUGAAGCCUUUUUCGAUAGCUGAGAUCAACAUGUGAGCUCUGCUUCAGUCUUUCCUUUCCUUUCAAGUUUAUGUUUUUAUGUAUGACGUAUAUUAUGUUUGAUCACUAUUGUUUU